GGCCAGGCAUGGUGGCACAGACCUGUAAUCCCAGCCCUUUGGGUGACCAGGGUGGGAGGAUCACUUGAGCCCAGGAACUCAAGACCUGCCUGAGCAUCACAGAGAGACCCUGUCUCU
rnacentral:sRNA from 1 species